AUGAAUGAAAGUGCACAUUCCGACGAAAUUUCCCGAUUUUUUCAGCCUUUGGAAGGAGAGCCUAGGGUUUGGGACGUCUCAGACAGACAGACAGGCAAACCACGUCUCCGGAGGCAGACAGACUCACAACAUGAGUGUGAGCCUAAAAUCAAAUACAGGUUCAACAUUCCCGAGGCCUCUCUGCGGGGCCGGGCGGGCGCCGAUCUCCCUACCUUCUCUCCCCUCCAGGGCGCUGGGCAGAGACCCGGAAGACUCGGUCCCUCUGGCUUGGUCCAAUCCCGCCUCGGGAAGCGCCUUCGUUACCUGCUCCUCGGCUCCCCACGGCCACAGAUGCAGGGCAGCCGCCUCCCGCCGGGGGAGGGAAGCCCCGGCCACCGCAGCCGCCGCUGCCCGCCCUCCUUUCCUCCCUCCCUCCCUCUUUCUCGCCCUCCCUCCCUCUCUCCCUCCCUCGCGCGCUGCCGCUCGCGGGGCCCUCCCGCGGGCAACCUGUUCUGGACCAAAUCCAGGUAUCUCCGAAAGAGAGAGAGAGAGAGAGAAAGGACCUCUUAUGUGGAAAAGAAAGAAAAAAAGACCCUUAACCGCGUUUAUUUUCCAUGCUCUGACCACUGGUCGGCCUCUGUGCAGAUGCCCUGGACCCGGCCCGGCAAGCGGCAGAGGUGUGCUGGGCCUGCUGCCUCGCCCACGCGGACCGCCGCGCCCCGCGCACUGCUUGCUCCACACUCUGGGCCGCCGCCCCCCCGGCAGCCCAAACACCACACAGACCUCAAGGUCCUUCCUACAGACUCAACAUCCGGUUGCCCGCCUCGCGGCUGGCCUCCGCCCCGGAGCCCGCUCUGCUCCGUCUGCGGCCAAAGUCCACACAUAGUCCACCUUGUCCGAGCCCUCGCGCCGGGUCGGACACCCCUCCUAGCCAAGGCGCCCGCCGGGCCACCCUCGGGCCGCGACCCUGCCGCGGACUGCAAACCUCCUCCCCUGCACGGGACCCACACAAAGCCCAGUGCCCACCCGCAGCCCCCCGUACCCCGCCGCUGCUGCCCUUCACCUGUUCCCGAGAAAGGCUGCCUCUCUGAGCCGAGGCAAGGCCGUGGGCCCGGGCGGAGGGUGCCUGGAAGCCGGGGAGUCGAGGUCCCGGGGAGGCCACAGAGGAUCGGCCGGGCUAAGCCGGAGCCCCCGCAGCCCGCGAGUUAUCUCAGAGACCAAGGCUCUCCUUGGCGAGCUCUUGCCUUUUCCUCCGUCUCCCGCAAGUCUUAA
rnacentral:lncRNA from 1 species